AACGAACGCUGGCGGCAUGCCUAACACAUGCAAGUCGAACGAGCCCUUCGGGUCUAGUGGCGCACGGGUGCGUAACGCGUGGGAACCUGCCCUUAGGUUCGGAAUAACUCCCCGACAGGGGUGCUAAUACCGGAUAAUGUCUUCGGACCAAAGAUUUAUCGCCUUUGGAUGGGCCCGCGUUGGAUUAGCUAGUUGGUAGGGUAAAAGCAUACCAAGGGGCCGAUCCACAGCUGGUCUGGGAGGAUGAUCAGCCACACUUGGACGGAGACACGGCCGAGACUCCUACGGGAGGCAGCAGAGGGGAAUAUUGGAAAAUGGGCGAAAGCCUGAUCCAGCAAUGCCGCGUGAGUGAUGAAGGCAUGAGGGUUGUAAAGCGCUUUUAACCGUGAUGAUAUUGACAGUACCGGGAGAAAAAGCCCCGGCUAACUACGUG
rnacentral:rRNA from 1 species